CCGACCUCGCCUCCGCUUCCACCCGUUCAAAGGACUCUUUCGCCGACUCCACCUCUGCCUUCGCUAUGUCGGCGUCGGCUUGGGCAAUCGACACGUCCUCCUCGGCCUUGGCGAGAUUCUCUAGGUUGACCCGGAGCUGCUCGCAUUCAGCCUCAAGCUCGACGGCGACGCCAUCCCGUUCGUGCUACAGUCGGUGCGCGGUCCGACCCUUGCACUUGGCUUCCUUUUGGGCUGACUUAAGUUCGGACCCGAGAUGAGAGAUCUCGUCUUCAAGCCUCGCCUCC
rnacentral:lncRNA from 1 species